rnacentral:rRNA from 1 species
CCUACGGGAGGCAGCAGUGAGGAAUAUUGGUCAAUGGGCGCUAGCCUGAACCAGCCAAGUAGCGUGAAGGAUGACUGCCCUAUGGGUUGUAAACUUCUUUUAUAUGGGAGUAAAGUGCAGUAUGUAUACUGCUUUGCAUGUACCUUAUGAAUAAGGAACGGCUAACUCCGUGCCAGCAGCCGCGGUAAUACGGAGGGUCGGAGCGUUAUCCGGAUUUAUUGGGUUUAAAGGGAGCGUAGGCGGGUUGUUAAGUCAGUUGUGAAAGUGUGGGGCUCAAACGGAAAAUUGCAGUUGAUACUGGCAGCCUUGAGUGCAGUAGAGGUAGGCGGAAUUCGUGGUGUAGCGGUGAAAUGCUUAGAUAUCACGAAGAACUCCGAUUGCGAAGGCAGCCUGCUGGACUGUAACUGACGCUGAGGCACGAAAGUGUGGGUAUCAAACAGGAUUAGAUACCCUUGUAGUC